CACCACUCAAGCCUGGCUUGGUCUUGGGCGGCGGGAGUCCCCCGCGCCCCCAAUUCAUCGGCUGGACGGUUCGAAUCUCAGCGUUGUGGUUUUAUCAAAUCGCUGGCGAGGACGACCGGACGCGCCGUCACAAAUUCAUUACA
rnacentral:misc_RNA from 1 species